UACGGGGGGAGCAAGCGUUGUUCGGAUUUACUGGGCGUAAAGGGCGCGUAGGCGGCCAGCACAAGUCAGUUGUGAAAUCUCCGAGCUUAACUCGGAAAGGUCAACUGAUACUGUGCGGCUAGAGUGCGGAAGGGGCAACUGGAAUUCUUGGUGUAGCGGAGAAAUGCGUAGAUAUCAAGAGGAACACCUGCGGCGAAGGCGGGUUGCUGGGCCGACACUGACGCUGAGGCGCGAAAGCCAGGGGAGCGAACGGG
rnacentral:rRNA from 1 species